AUACCUCCUGAGGAUGGAGCCUAAAGGCAAUAGGUUUGUGUGAAUCUACAUGCUUAAACUGGCCGGUCACUUUGCUGCUGACACACCUGAAUUUUCCCACUGAGGCACAAUAAAGGAUAUUUCACUAUU